rnacentral:rRNA from 1 species
CUUGAAGAGGGGCCCGCGCCUGAUUAGCUAGUUGGUGGGGUAAUGGCUCACCAAGGCAACGAUCAGUAGCCGGCCUGAGAGGGCGGACGGCCACACUGGGACUGAGACACGGCCCAGACUCCUACG